rnacentral:rRNA from 1 species
GACGUAGGGGGCCAGCGUUGCUCGGAAUUACUGGGCGUAAAGGGUUCGUAGGCGGUGUGGCAAGUCGGGAGUGAAAUCUCCAGGCUCAACUUGGAGGCUGCUUCCGAAACUGCCGCGCUAGAGUGCGAGAGAGGCCAGUGGAAUUGCAGGUGUAGGCGGUGAAAUGCGUAGAUAUCUGCAGGAACACCCGUGGCGAAGGCGGCUGGCUGGAUCGCAACUGACGCUGAGGAACGAAAGCUAGGGGAGCAAACAGG